rnacentral:pre_miRNA from 1 species
AUUCUACUCCCUCCGUCCGAAAAUACUUGUCAUCCAAAUGGAUAAAAAUGGAUGUAUCUAGAACUAAAAUACGUCUAGAUACAUCUUCUUUUAUCCAUUUUGAUGACAACUAUUUCUGGACGGAGGGAGUAUUUC